rnacentral:rRNA from 1 species
GAUGAACGCUAGCUACAGGCUUAACACAUGCAAGUCGAGGGGAAACGAUAUUGGAAGCUUGCUUCCGAUAGGCGUCGACCGGCGCACGGGUGAGUAACGCGUAUCCAACCUGCCCACCACUUGGGGAUAACCUUGCGAAAGUAAGACUAAUACCCAAUGACGUCCAUAGAAGACAUCUGAAAUGGAUUAAAGAUUUAUCGGUGAUGGAUGGGGAUGCGUCUGAUUAGCUUGGUGGCGGGGUAACGGCCCACCAAGGCGACGAUCAGUAGGGGUUCUGAGAGGAAGGUCCCCCACAUUGGAACUGAGACACGGUCCAAACUCCUACGGGAGGCAGCAGUGAGGAAUAUUGGUCAAUGGGCGAGAGCCUGAACCAGCCAAGUAGCGUGCAGGAUGACGGCCCUAUGGGUUGUAGACUGCUUUUAUAAGGGAAUAAAGUGAGCCUCGUGAGGCUUUUUGCAUGUACCUUAUGAAUAAGGACCGGCUAAUUCCGUGCCAGCCGCCGCGGUAA